UACAGAGGGUGCGAGCGUUGUCCGGAAUCACUGGGCGUAAAGGGCGCGUAGGUGGCUAGGUAAGCGUGCGGUGAAAGCCCGGGGCUCAACCCCGGGUCGGCCGUGCGGACUGCCUGGCUUGAGCACGGUAGAGGCCGAUGGAAUUCCGGGUGUAGCGGUGGAAUGCGUAGAGAUCCGGAAGAACACCGGUGGCGAAGGCGGUCGGCUGGGCCGAUGCUGACACUGAGGCGCGACAGCGUGGGGAGCAAACAGG
rnacentral:rRNA from 1 species